rnacentral:rRNA from 1 species
CUACGGGGUGCUCCAGUGAGGAAUAUUGCACAAUGGGGGGAACCCUGAUGCAGCAACGCCGCGUGGAGGAUGACGCAUUUCGGUGUGUAAACUCCUUUUAUAUGUCAAGAAAAUGACGGUAGCAUAUGAAUAAGCACCGGCUAACUCCGUGCCAGCAGCCGCGGUAAUACGGAGGGUGCAAGCGUUACUCGGAAUCACUGGGCGUAAAGGAAGCGUAGGCGGGUUGGAAAGUCAGGUGUGAAAUCCUACAGCUUAACUGUAGAACUGCACUUGAAACUUCUAAUCUAGAGUAUGGGAGGGGGAGAUGGAAUUAGUGGUGUAGGGGUAAAAUCCGUAGAUAUCACUAGGAAUACCUAAAGCGAAGGCGAUCUCCUGGAACAUUACUGACGCUAAGGCGUGAAAGCGUGGGGUGCAAACAGGAUUAGAUACCCGGGUAGUC